UACGUAGGGGGCUAGCGUUGUCCGGAAUCAUUGGGCGUAAAGCGCACGUAGGCGGAUUGCUAAGUCAGGGGUGAAAUCCUGGAGCUCAACUCCAGAACUGCCUUUGAUACUGGUGAUCUUGAGUCCGGGAGAGGUGAGUGGAACUGCGAGUGUAGAGGUGAAAUUCGUAGAUAUUCGCAAGAACACCAGUGGCGAAGGCGGCUCACUGGCCCGGUACUGACGCUGAGGUGCGAAAGCGUGGGGAGCAAACAGG
rnacentral:rRNA from 1 species